GAUUGUAAAAGAGGCUGCGAAUUUCAUCAGUAAGAAAUGAAAGGGGAAUUCGCCGAAGGGAAACCUGGGGAUGCGUAGAAUAUGCGUAUAACUGUCUAUCUAAGAGUGCCCGCUUUUGGAUAGAGGUGCUUUUACAAAU
rfam:Peptoniphilus indolicus ATCC 29427 genomic scaffold SCAFFOLD1, whole genome shotgun sequence.